UGGGGAAUAUUGGACAAUGGGCGAAAGCCUGAUCCAGCAAUGCCGCGUGAGUGAUGAAGGCCUUCGGGUUGUAAAGCUCUGUCGGGAGGGACGAAUAGGGUGGUGUAAUGGCCACUUCUGACGGUACCUCCAAAGGAAGCACCGGCUAACUCUGUGCCAGCAGCCGCGGUAAUACAGAGGGUGCAAGCGUUGUUCGGAAUUACUGGGCGUAAAGCGCGUGUAGGCGGCGUCGUGAGUCAUAUGUGAAAUCCCCGGGCUCAACCUGGGAAUUGCAUUUGAGACUGCACGGCUAGAGUGUGUCAGAGGGGGGUAGAAUUCCACGUGUAGCAGUGAAAUGCGUAGAUAUGUGGAGGAAUACCGAUGGCGAAGGCAGCCCCCUGGGAUAACACUGACGCUCAUGCACGAAAGCGUGGGGAGCAAACGGGAUUAGAUACCCAUGUAGUCCCUGAGCGGGCUGGCAAGGCGCAU
rnacentral:rRNA from 1 species